rnacentral:rRNA from 1 species
UACGAAGGGGACUAGCGUUGUUCGGAAUCACUGGGCGUAAAGCGCACGUAGGCGGAUAUGUCAGUCAGGGGUGAAAUCCCGGGGCUCGACCUCGGAACUGCCUUUGAUACAGCAUAUCUUGAGUCCGAUAGAGGUGGGUGGAAUUCCUAGUGUAGAGGUGAAAUUCGUAGAUAUUAGGAAGAACACCGGUGGCGAAGGCGGCCCACUGGAUCGGUACUGACGCUGAGGUGCGAAAGCGUGGGGAGCAAACAGG